AGUCAAUUCAGCUACAUGAGCCUAGGUAGACCAGAUAUAACCCUCUUUCUCCUCUUCCACCUGAUUUCUACGUCCAUAACCAAAAGCAUAUGUUGGAUCGUAAGAUUCUCACACGGGAAUGACCUUGCAAUUCGUGCAUAAACCUCCAUCAUACUUUCUGAGGAGUAAAAAAUCAAUCUAUGUCUUGACCACUGUACUCUGGAAGGUUAUUAGGUGCUCCAUCUUUUUAGGGAAGCACGAGUUAGCAAUCCCCGUAUCAAAAGCUUUAGCGCACUCCAUCAAUGAAGUAUCUCCUCCGUUGCUAUCUCCAAAAUCAAAGCCACCAAACACACUGUCAUACCCCUCAAAUGAUCUCCCAAUGUGACCAUUAAAAUCUCCUCCUAAAAUAAUCUUCUUGGAGGACGGUAUACCUUGUACCAACUCAUCCAAAUCCUACAAAAAGAACAUUAAUUUAACCUCCUCAUCCAAACCCUCUUAAAGCGCAUAUGCAUUAACCCACCUGAG
rnacentral:lncRNA from 1 species